AGUGAACGCUGGCGGUAGGCCUAACACAUGCAAGUCGAACGGCAGCACAGUAAGAGCUUGCUCUUACGGGUGGCGAGUGGCGGACGGGUGAGGAAUACAUCGGAAUCUACUUUUUCGUGGGGGAUAACGUAGGGAAACUUACGCUAAUACCGCAUACGACCUACGGGUGAAAGCAGGGGAUCUUCGGACCUUGCGCGAUUGAAUGAGCCGAUGUCGGAUUAGCUAGUUGGCGGGGUAAAGGCCCACCAAGGCGACGAUCCGUAGCUGGUCUGAGAGGAUGAUCAGCCACACUGGAACUGAGACACGGUCCAGACUCCUACGGGAGGCAGCAGUGGGGAAUAUUGGACAAUGGGCGCAAGCCUGUUCCAGCCAUACCGCGUGGGUGAAGAAGGCCUUCGGGUUGUAAAGCCCUUUUGUCGGGAAAGAAAAGCAGCAGGUUAAUACCCCGCUGUUCUGACGGUACCCAAAGAAUAAGCACCGGCUAACUUCGUG
rnacentral:rRNA from 1 species